rnacentral:rRNA from 1 species
GACUAACGCUGGCGGCGUGCCUAAUACAUGCAAGUCGAACGGGAUUCUUUGAUCAGCUUGCUGAGAGAAGGAUCUAGUGGCGGACGGGUGAGUAACGCGUGGGAAUCUGCCUCUUACUGGGGGAUAACAGUGGGAAACUACUGCUAAUACCGCAUAAGAUCUUCGGAUGAAAGGUGCAACUGCACCGGUAAGAGAUGAGCCCGCGUCCCAUUAGCUAGUUGGUGAGGUAAAGGCUCACCAAGGCGACGAUGGGUAGCCGGCCUGAGAGGGUGAACGGCCACACUGGGACUGAGACACGGCCCAGACUCCUACGGGAGGCAGCAGUAGGGAAUCUUCCGCAAUGGGCGCAAGCCUGACGGAGUGACGCCGCGUGAGUGAUGAAGGCCUUCGGGUCGUAAAGCUCUGUUCUUGAGGACGAAUAAGCCAGGGAGUGGAAAGCCCUAGGUGAUGACUGUACUCAAGGAGAAAGCUCCGGCUAACUACGUGCC